UUCUUCCCCUCUAAACAGAGUACAACGUCCCAAGUCAUUUUCCUUGGCCCCAUGGCUGUGAAACACCGUCAACCACGUGCACAGGCCUCAAAAGUCUCUAAUAGGUCUUUUGAUACCUAAAGAAUGUCAUACACGUAAGUCACGUCCUUCCACGCGCCUGCGCAGUUUACCAUCGCUCUAGUGCUUCCACUUGUGAUGGAAUAUGACGUCCCAAGUCAAUUUUCUUGUCGCCGUGGCUUUAAAGCACCGUCAACUACAUGCACAUGUCUCUAAAAUCUCUAAUAUGGCCUUUUGAUGCCUAAAAAAUGGUAUACACGUAAAUCACGUGCUUCCACGCGUCUGCGCAGGAUAACAUCGGUCUAGUCCUUAUACUUUCAAUGGACUAUGACGUCCGAUGUCGUUUUCCUGGGCGCCAUGGCUUUAGAACACUGUGAAGUCCGUGCACAAACCUCUAAAACUGUAAUAUGGCUUUUUGCGGCCUAAUAAGGGCCUUUAACGUAAAUCCCGUCCUUCCACGCAACUGCACAUGUUACCACUUGUCUAGCCCUUCCACUCUUAAUGGACUACGACGUCCGAUGUCGUUUUCCUGAGCGCCAUGGCUUUAGAACACCGUUAACUACGUGCACAGGUCUCUGAAGUCUCUAAUAUGGCCUUUUGAUGCGUAAAAAAUGUCAUAAACAUAAAUCACGUGCUUCCACGCGCCUGCGCAGGUUACCAUCGGUCUAGUCCCUCCAUUCCUGAUGUACUAUCACGUCCCAAGGCAAUUUUCUUCUCGCCAUGGGUUUAAAGCACCGUCAACUACGUGCACAAGCCUCUAACUACUGUAAUAUGCCUUUUUGCGGCUUAAAAAGGCCCUUAUACGUAAAUCUCGUCCUUCCAAGCGCCUGCACAUGCUACCAGCGGUCUAGUCCUUCCACUCUCCAUGGGCUAUGACGUCCCAAGUCAAUUUCCUUGGCGCCAUGGCUUUAAAACAUCGUGAACUACGCGUACAGGUCUCCAAAAUCUCAAAUAUGGCCUUUUGAUGCCUAAUAGAUGCGUUAGGCGUAAAUCCCGUCCUACCACGCACCUGCACAGGAUACCGCCGGUCUAGUCCUUCCACUCUCAAAUCGCUACGACGUCCUAAGUUGUUUUCCUGGGCGACAUGACUUUAGAACACCGUUAACUACGUGCACAUGUCUCUGAAGUCUCUAAUAUGGCCUUUUGAUGCGUAAAAAAUGUCAUACACAUAAAUCACGUGCUUCCACGCGCCUGCGCAGGUUACCAUCGGUCUAGUCCUUCCAUUCCUGAUGUACUAUCACGUCCCAAGGCAAUUUUCUUCUCGCCAUGGGUUUAAAGCACCGUCAACUACGUGCACAAGCCUCUAACUACUGUAAUAUGCCUUUUUGCGGCUUAAAAAGGCCAUUAUACGUAAAUCUCGUCCUUCCAAGCGCCUGCACAUGCUACCAGCGGUCUAGUCCUUCCACUCUCCAUGGGCUAUGACGUCCCAAGUCAAUUUCCUUGGCGCCAUGGCUUUAAAACAUCGUGAACUACGCGUACAGGUCUCCAAAAUCUCAAAUAUGGCCUUUUGAUGCCUAAUAGAUGCGUUAGGCGUAAAUCCCGUCCUACCACGCACCUGCCAAGAUACCGCCGGUCUAGUCCUUGCACUCUCAAAUCGCUACGACGUCCUAAGUUGUUUUCCUGGGCGACAUGGCUUUAGAACACCGAUAACUACGUGCACAGGUCUCUGAAGUCUCUAAUAUGACCUUUUGAUGGCUAUAAAAUGUCAUUCACGUAAACCACUUGCUUCCACGCGCCUGUGCAGGUUACCAUCGGUCUAGUCCUUCCACUCGUGAUGGACUAUGACGUCCCAAGUCAAUUUUCUUGUCGUCAUGUCUUAAAAGCACCGUCAACUACGUGCACAUGUCUCUAAAAUCUCUAAUAUGGCCUUUUGAUGCCUAAAAAAUGUCAUACACGUAAAUCACGUGCUUCCACGCGCCUGCACAGGAUACCAUCGGUCUAGUCCUUCAACUUUCAAUGGACUACGACGUCCCAAGUCAUUUUCCUUGGUGCCAUGGUUUUAAAACAUCGUCAACUGCACGGACAGGUCUCUAUAGCCCUUAAUGUGGCCUUUUGAUGCCUAAUAAAUGCGGUAGACGUAAAUCACGUGCUUCCAACCGCCUGCGCAUGUUACCAUCGGUCUAGUCUUUCCACUCACAAUGGACUACGACGUCCGAUGUUGUUUUCCUUCGCGCCAUGGCUUUAGACCACCGUCAAGUACGUGCACAAGCCCUUAAAGACUGUAAUGUGGGUUUUUGCGGCCUAACAAGGCCGUUUUACGUAAAUCAAGUCCUUCCACGCACCUGCACAGGUUACCACAGGUCUAGUCCUUCCACUGUCAACAGACUACGACGUCCCAUCUCGUUUUCUUUGGGGCCAUGGCUUUAAAACACCGUCAAGUACGUGCACAAGCCUCUAAAUGCAAAAUAUAAAUAUGUAUAUGACUUUUUGCGGCUUAAUAGAGACCUUAUACGUGAAUCUCGUCUUUCCACGCGCCUGCAAAGGCUACCACCGGUCUAGUCCUUCCACUCUCAAUGGACUAAGACUUUCCAAGUCAAUUUACCUGGCGCCAUUGCGUUGAAACACUGUGAAGUACGUGCACAAUCCUCUAAAACUGUAAUAUGGCUUUUUGCGGCCUAAUAAGGGCCUUUUACGUAAAUCCCGUCCUUCCACGCACCUGCACAGGUUACCGCCGGUCUAGUCCUUCUACUCUUAAUUCGCUAUGACGUCCCAAGUUGUUUUCCUGGGCGUCAUGGCUUUAGAACACCGUUAACUACGUGCACAGGUCUCUGAAGUCUCUAAUAUGGCGUUUUGAUGCCUAAUAAAUGUCAUACACGUAAAUCACGUGCUUCCACGCGCCUGCACUGCACCACCGGUCUAGUCCUUCCACUCGCCAUGGGCUAUGACGUCCCAAGUCAAUUUCCUUGGCCCCAUGGCUUUAAAACAUCGUCAACUACGCGGACAGGUCUCCAAAUUCUCAAAUAUGGCCUUGUGAUGCCUAAUAGAUGCGUUAGGCGUAUAUCCCGUCCUACCACGCACCUGCACAGGUUACCACCAGUCUAGCCCUUCCACUCUCAAUAGAUUACGAGGUCCGAUGUCGUUUUCCUUGGGGCCAUGGCUUUAGAACACCGUCAAGUACGUGCACAAGCCUUUAAAGACUGUAAUGUGGGUUUUUGCGGCCUAACAAGGCCAUUUUACGUAAAUCAAGUCCUUCCACGCACCUGCACAGGUUACCAGAGGUCUAGUCCUUCCACUGUCAACAGACUACGACGUCCCAUCUCGUUUUCUUUGGGGCCAUGGCUUUAAAACACCGUCAAGUACGUGCACAAGCCUGUAAAACUGUAAUAUGGCUUUUGCGGCCUAAUAAGGGCCUUUUACGUUAAUCCCCUCCUUCCACGCACCUGCACAGGUUACCACUGCUCUAGUCCUUCCACUCUUAAUGGAUUACGAGGUCCGAUGUCGUUUUCCUUGGGGCCAUCGCUUUAGACAACCGUCAAGUACGUGCACAAGCCUUUAAAGACUGUAAUGUGGGUUUUUGCGGCCUAACAAGGUCGUUUUACGUAAAUCAAGUCCUUCCACGCACCUGCACAGGUUACCAGAGGUCUAGUCCUUCCACUGUCAACAGACUACGACGUCCCAUCUCGUUUUCUUUGGGGCCAUGGCUUUAAAA